rnacentral:rRNA from 1 species
UAGGGAAUCUUCGGCAAUGGACGAAAGUCUGACCGAGCAACGCCGCGUGAGUGAAGAAGGUUUUCGGAUCGUAAAACUCUGUUGGUAGAGAAGAACGUUGGUGAGAGUGGAAAGCUCAUCAAGUGACGGUAACUACCCAGAAAGGGACGGCUAACUACGUGCCAGCAGCCGCGGUAAUACGUAGGUCCCGAGCGUUGUCCGGAUUUAUUGGGCGUAAAGCGAGCGCAGGUGGUUUUAUUAAGUCUGGUGUAA